rnacentral:rRNA from 1 species
AUUGAACGCUGGCGGCAGGCCUAACACAUGCAAGUCGAGCGGAGCGGCGGACGGGUGAGUAAUGCCUAGGAAUCUGCCUGGGAGUGGGGGAUAACGUCCGGGAACGGGCGCUAAUACGGCAUACUAUCCGAUGAGCCUAGGUCGGAUUAGCUGGUUGGUGGGGUAAAGGCCUACCAAGGCGACGAUCCGUAACUGGUCUGAGAGGAUGCUCAGUCACACUGGAACUUAGACACGGUCCAGACUCCGACGGUAGGCAGCAGUGGGGAAUAUUGGACAAUGGGCGAAAGCCUGAUCCAGCCAUGCCGCGUGUGGUAAGAAGGUCUUCGGAUUGUAAAGCACUUUAAGUUGGGAGGCGUUACCAACAGAAUAAGCACCGGCUAACUUCGUGCCAGCAGCCGCGGUAAUUC